rnacentral:lncRNA from 1 species
CUCAACCUUACGUGAGGAUAGAGUGCUUAACUCUCCACCCUACCCCACUACCCUCCCUAAACUUAUAAAACACAUCCCGAUUGCAUCAGACAGACACUGACAAUAACAAGGUAUUUCAAACUCAUGUGCUACAUGGCUGUGGGGUUUCUUUUCCCCCUUUUUAUAGCUGAUCUAUCUGUAUUUCCCUUUGAAGUUAAGAUAAACCAAUGUAGCAUUUGAUAUACCAACAUAGCUAGGUGUCGAUAAACCAAUGUAGCUAGGUGUCGAUAAACCAAUGUAGCUAGGUGUAGAUAAACCACCGUAGCUAAGUGUAGAUAAACCAAUGUGUAGAUAAACCAGAAUAGCUAUAGGUAAACCAACGUAGCUAGGUGUAGAUAAACCAACGUAGCUAGGUGUAGAUAAACCAACAUAGCUGUAGAUAAACCAAUGUAGCUAUGUGCAGAUAAACCAACGUAGCUAUAGAUAAACCAACAUAGCUGUAGAUAAACCAACGUAGCUAGGUGUAGAUAAACCAACGUAGCUAUAGGAAAACCAACAUAGCUAGGUGCAGAUAAACCAACGUAGCUAGGUGCAGAUAAACCAACGUAGCUAGGUGUAGAUAAACCAACGUAGCUAGGUGUAGAUAAACCAACGUAGCUAGGUGUAGAUAAACCAACGUAGCUAGGUGGAGAUAAACCAACGUAGCUAGGUGCAGAUAAACC